GGAUCAGUUGCGUGGAACAUUGUGUAAGAUGCGGUUUUGAGGAUGAAACAACAAGUCAUAUACUUUUGAAUAUCCACCAUCUAACCAUAUUUAGGCUCUAUCAAAUUAACCCCAAUCUUUCUCAACAGAGGUUGUCUUUACGAAUAUGGAGAAUCAUUGAUAUCCAUGGUUAAGAUAUUUCCAUGGUUGAAACGACAUAACUGGAAAACGAUCUAUAUUUAGCAGUCAGGUGAAUACAUAAUUGUCUCAAUGGUGUAGAGUAAGUGGGUCGUGGAAAAGUGUAAUGACUCACCU
rnacentral:lncRNA from 1 species